rnacentral:rRNA from 1 species
CGAGCAAGGAUGAAAAUCGGACUUAGUGAUCCGGUGGUUCUGCGUGGAAGGGCCAUCGCUCAACGGAUAAAAGCUACCCUGGGGAUAACAGGCUUAUCUCCCCCAAGAGUCCACAUCGACGGGGAGGUUUUGCACCUCGAUGUCGGCUCAUCACAUCCUGGGGCUGUAGUAGGUCCCAAGGGUUGGGCUGUUCGCCCAUUAAAGUGGUACGCGAGCUGGGUUCAGAACGUCGUGAGACAGUUCGGUCCCUAUCCGUCGCAGGCGUAGGAAAUUUG